rnacentral:rRNA from 1 species
UACGGGGGGGGCUAGCGUUGUUCGGAAUUACUGGCGUAAGGACGGCGUAGCGGUCUACUAAGUUGGAUGUGAAAACUCUGGGCUUAACCCAGAGCCUGCAUUCAAAACUGAUAGGCUAGAGUUCUGGAGGGGAUAGCGGAAUUCCUGGUGUAGCGGUGAAAUGCGUAGAUAUCGAGGAGGAACACCGGUGGCGAAGGCGGCUAUCUGGACAGAAACUGACGCUGAGGCGCGAAAGCUAGGGGAGCAAACAGG